AUGCUUACCUGGCAGGGGAGAUAUCAUGAUCAGGCAGGCAGUGCUCCCAGGGUGAGGCUCAUCCAUUGCACUUGAGAUGUGCUGACCCCUGCAACUUCCCCAAAUGUGGGAAACUCCACUGCAUAAUUUGUGGUAGUGGGGGGCUGUGUUCACACUCUCCCCUG